GGCCGGAGUGACCGGGGCCGGAAAAACUAGGGGCCGGAGUGACCGGGGCCGGAAAAACUAGGGGCCGGAGUGACUUGCUACCGUUUGGUUGGAUGAACAUGACUGUGACGCGAAUUAUGAAGGCUCCUCAGGGGGAAUGGAGGCAGCAGCAGCUGUGGCAUUGUGGCGUAGAUCUCGUCAGUAUAAUAUGUUCUAUAAAACAUUCGUGUCUGAUGGUGACAGCUCUGCAUUCCGUUCUGUGUGCGGGAUGAAUCAAGGUGCAGGACCUUACGGUGAGCAGUGCCCUGUCGUGAAGGCCGAGUGCAUUAACCAUGUUGCAAAAAGACUUGCCACAGGCCUUCGUGCUUUGAAAAAGACAAAGUGAUGCAGAAAAGCCAGCAACAUGGGGAGGAAGACAAGCUGACUGACGUAGUUAUAGAUCACCUGCAGUGUUAUUUUCAAGUGAGUCUGAGCAGAAAGGUGGGCACAACUGCUAGUGAAAUGCGUGAGAGAAUGCGUGAGGAAAUCAUGUCAAGUUUCUUCCACUGCACGUCAACAGACGACAAUCCUCAACAUGACAGGUGUGCCAAAGGUGAAAGAUCAUGGUGCUUCUACAACAGAAGCAUUGCUUUAGGACAACAGCCUCAUUCCCACACCACAAUGAAAGUUUAUUUCCGUCUGGAAGAAGAUCAGAAGAGAAAAAUAAAAGCCAUCUAUGACAGACUCACUACAGAUGAGAUGAUGAAUCGAUGUCUUCAGGGCAUAACUCAAAACCGAAAUGAGCACCUACACUCAAGAAUAUGGAGGAUAUGCCCAAAACAUUGUAAUGCAUCAAAAAUGUUGGUGGACUUCACAGCAGCAACUGCGGUAUGCAAUUACAAUGUCGGCUACACUGAAAGCAACUUGGCUGGCCUGCUUGGCAUUGAAUCUACAUUGUCUAUGGAAAAAUAUCUGCAGAACAUGGACAAGACGAUGGAGUCCCCAUUCAGAUGAAAGAUGAGGAACAAGAACCUGCGAAGAGACUUGGAGUAUGCAGCUGGAGGCUUCUGACUGUCACUGUCUUGUCAACAAAUCCUUUUUUCUCAAAAGUAUCUUAGCAUUGUCAAUAAAUUUUCAUGAAGAUUGAUUGAGAAGUUUAUGAUUAACCCAAAAAAUCAAACUUUCUACACACGUAAGGGCUGGAGAAGGUGGUGGCCAAGCUUCAGAAAUGCAGGAAGGAUUAGUGGUGAUGGCCAGAAAUGCAGGAAGGAUUAGUGGUGAUGGCUGCAGGCUGCCAUGACCCCCCCAGCUUUGCAGGGCUAAAAGCUGACCAAGACUUGACUGGCUUAGUGAUGUCUGCCUGACUUGAAAGUCUGAGUGAUGUCUGCCUGACUUGAAAGUCUGACAACAUAAGUCAUAGGUUCUGAUGCAGUGUGUGGUGAUGGACUGUGGCAGGGGAGAGUGGCCCACCUGCAGUGACAAUUAGCAAGCGCGUCUCUCAAAGCUGUUGUUUUCCAUAAGAGAGACUGGCUUGCCCCUCCGUCAACCUGAAAUGGAUGGGAGGCUACUGUUUGUUCACCUUGACAAGUUGUGCAGCCUUACUCAUCUCUAAUGGUCACCAAGAGGCACAUCAAGGAUUUCACUUACUGGGCUGAAGGGAGUCUGGCAAGGCUGUGAGCUGACCAAGACUGACUGACUGGGAAUGAUGAACUGGAGAAAUGAAGCUGAAUCAAAUGAGAAUAAUGGGUGCUUGGAGUGGCCGAGAAAGUACUGUUGCGUGUCACGUGGAGAACCGAGUGCUGUUAUAACUCCAUGAUGCUAAAGAUGAGUAGUCGUAAGUCAUCACUGGCAAGAUGAUGACUGCUGUCCACAAUGAUGUCCACAAGGAAAUCACUGGCAAAGAUGUUAGGAGACUGUGGAGGACUGGGUGGGGAAACUUUCUGAAAAUAUUAUUAUAUUCAGUGAGGCAGUUAUCCACUCCUGUGAUGGUAUGGGUGGCUGCCUCAUUACUCUGUGCUGUGCCCACUUGGCUGUGUUCGCUGUCUGAGCUGUGGUUAAGAGUUCGAGGACUCCUCAAAUUAUUGAUUUGAUUUGUUUUUGUGUUUUUUUUUUUUUAUAAAAUUUUUUUUCCUGGAUAUCUGUUGUCUUGUUCUCCAGAGACUCUUCUAGGUAUCCAGUAACCUGUUUGUUAUUUUUAACAAAGUGAAUUUUUGGUAUUUUAAGUGUUUAUUAUUGAAUAUGAUGCUUUUGAAUAUGGGUUCAGUAAUUUCCUGCUUUUGAAUAUGGGUUCAGUAAUUUCCUGAUUUCCUUUUUCUAUUAAAAUGUAUUAGGCAGGUUUUUAUUUAAAUGUUUUUAUAGUUUUUCCAUAUAACCUUUUUAUGCUACUCAUAUUCCCCCCACACUAUAUAUAUACCUGGUUGGUCCCACCCCCUGCUCUCCCUGCAUUCCCCCCACACUCUACUCCUCAUCCAUAGGUUCAUAGGUCUUUUUCUCUACUAUAUAUAUAUACCAGGUUGCUCCCACCCCCUGCUCUCCAUAUACCAGGUUGCUCCCACCCCCUGCUCUCCACUUAUAUAUAAAAUUUAUUUAUAUUAUAUACUGCUCUCUUACUUGACAAGUCUAUAUAACCUAACCUCACUUUUUCCGCUGUCUAUACUGCUCUCGAUAACCUAACCUCACUUCUUGGUCCGCUAGAUAAUACUGUAUUAUAGCUCUCGAUAACCUAACCUCACUUGGUCCGCUAGAUAAUUAUUUUUGCUCUCCACUUAUAUAUAAAAUUUAUAUUAUAUACUGGUCCGCUAGAUAAUUAUUUUUAGCUUCUAUUAUAAAAGACUUGUCUAACUCUCCACUGUCAAUAAAAUUAGCUCUCCACUGUCUAUUAUAAAAAGACACUGACUAUUAUAAUAAAAUUAGCUCCACUGACUAUUAUAAUAAAAUUAGCUCUCCACA